rnacentral:rRNA from 1 species
UACAGGGGGGGCAAGCGUUGUUCGGAAUUACUGGGCGUAAAGGGUCUGUAGGUGGCUUGCUAAGUCAGACGUGAAAUCCCUCAGCUUAACUGGGGAACUGCGUCUGAUACUGGCGAGCUUGAGUGCAGGAGAGGAACGCGGAAUUCCAGGUGUAGCGGUGAAAUGCGUAGAUAUCUGGAGGAACACCGGUGGCGAAGGCGGCGUUCUGGACUGUUACUGACACUGAGGAACGAAAGCCAGGGGAGCAAACGGG